rnacentral:tRNA from 1 species
GAGGAUAUAGCUCAGUGGUAAAGCCCAUGCUUAGCAGGCAUGAGGUCCUGGUUCAAUCCCCAGUACCUCCA